rnacentral:rRNA from 1 species
AGAGUUUGAUUAUGGCUCAGGAUGAACGCUGGCGGCGUGCCUAACACAUGCAAGUCGAACGGAUCCAUGCUGAAACCUAGUGAUGCAUGGAUUAGUGGCGGACGGGUGAGUAACGCGUGGAUAACCUGCCGUAUACUGGGGGAUAACACUUAGAAAUAGGUGCUAAUACCGCAUAAGCGCACAGUCUCGCAUGAGACGGUGUGAAAAACUCCGGUGGUAUACGAUGGAUCCGCGUCUGAUUAGCUUGUUGGCGGGGUAACAGCCCACCAAGGCGACGAUCAGUAGCCGGCCUGAGAGGGUGAACGGCCACAUUGGGACUGAGACACGGCCCAAACUCCUACGGGAGGCAGCAGUGGGGAAUAUUGCACAAUGGGGGAAACCCUGAUGCAGCGACGCCGCGUGAGUGAAGAAGUACCCCGGUACGUAAAGCUCUAUCAGCAGGGAAGAAAAUGACGGUACCUGACCAAGAAGCCCCGGCUAACUACGUGCCAGCAGCCGCGGUAAUACGUAGGGGGCAAGCGUUAUCCGGAUUUACUGGGUGUAAAGGGAGCGUANACGGCGGCGCAAGUCUGGAGUGAAAUCCCGGGGCUCAACCCCGGAACUGCUUUGGAAACUGCGCGGCUCGAGUG